rnacentral:rRNA from 1 species
UACGUAGGGGGCAAGCGUUAUCCGGAUUUACUGGGUGUAAAGGGAGCGUAGGCGGCAAGGCAAGUCUGAUGUGAAAACCCGGGGCUCAACCCCGGGACUGCAUUGGAAACUGCUUAGCUAGAGUGUCGGAGAGGUAAGUGGAAUUCCUAGUGUAGCGGUGAGAUGCGUAGAUAUUAGGAGGAACACCAGUGGCGAAGGCGACUUACUGGACGAUAACUGACGCUGAGGCUCGAAAGCGUGGGGAGCAAACAGGAUUAGAUACCCUGGUAGUCCACGCUGUAAACGAUGAAUACUAGGUGUCGGGUGGCAAAGCCAUUCGGUGCCGCAGCUAACGCAAUAAGUAUUCCACCUGGGGAGUACGUUCGCAAGAAUGAA